GGACCAAUUUGGCUCAGUGGCAGAGCAUCUGUUUUGCAUGCAAAAGGUCGUGGGUUCAAUCCCUGGCAUCUCCA